rnacentral:rRNA from 1 species
UGCAGAGGGGGCAAGCGUUGUUCGGAAUUACUGGGCGUAAAGGGCGCGUAGGCGGCCUGCUAAGUCGAACGUGAAAUCCCCGGGCUCAACCCGGGAACUGCGUCCGAUACUGGCAGGCUUGAAUCCGGGAGAGGGAUGCGGAAUUCCAGGUGUAGCGGUGAAAUGCGUAGAUAUCUGGAGGAACACCGGUGGCGAAGGCGGCAUCCUGGACCGGCAUUGACGCUGAGGCGCGAAAGCCAGGGGAGCAAACGGG